rnacentral:rRNA from 1 species
AUGUAUGAACGCUAGCGACAGGCUUAACACAUGCAAGUCGAGGGGCAGCACAGGUAGCAAUACCGGGUGGCGACCGGCGCACGGGUGAGUAACGCGUAUGCAACUUACCUAUCAGAGGGGGAUAACCCGGCGAAAGUCGGACUAAUACCGCAUGAAGCAGGGGCCCCGCAUGGGGAUAUUUGCUAAAGAUUCAUCGCUGAUAGAUAGGCAUGCGUUCCAUUAGGCAGUUGGCGGGGUAACGGCCCACCAAACCGACGAUGGAUAGGGGUUCUGAGAGGAAGGUCCCCCACAUUGGUACUGAGACACGGACCAAACUCCUACGGGAGGCAGCAGUGAGGAAUAUUGGUCAAUGGCCGAGAGGCUGAACCAGCCAAGUCGCGUGAGGGAUGAAGGUUCUAUGGAUCGUAAACCUCUUUUAUAAGGGAAUAAAGUGCGGGACGUGUCCCGUUUUGUAUGUACCUUAUGAAUAAGGAUCGGCUAACUCCGUGCCAGCAGCCGCGGUAAUACGGAGGAUCCGAGCGUUAUCCGGAUUUAUUGGGUUUAAAGGGUGCGUAGGCGGCCUUUUAAGUCAGCGGUGAAAGUCUGUGGCUCAACCAUAGAAUUGCCGUUGAAACUGGGGGGCUUGAGUAUGUUUGGGGCAGGCGGAAUGCGUGGUGUAGCGGUGAAAUGCAUAGAUAUCACGCAGAACCCCGAUUGCGAAGGCAGCCUGCCAAGCCAUUACUGACGCUGAUGCACGAAAGCGUGGGGAUCAAACAGGAUUAGAUACCCUGGUAGUCCACGCAGUAAACGAUGAUCACUAGCUGUUUGCGAUACACUGUAAGCGGCACAGCGAAAGCGUUAAGUGAUCCACCUGGGGAGUACGCCGGCAACGGUGAAACUCAAAGGAAUUGACGGGGGCCCGCACAAGCGGAGGAACAUGUGGUUUAAUUCGAUGAUACGCGAGGAACCUUACCCGGGUUUGAACGCAUUCGGACCGAGGUGGAAACACCUUUUCUAGCAAUAGCCGUUUGCGAGGUGCUGCAUGGUUGUCGUCAGCUCGUGCCGUGAGGUGUCGGCUUAAGUGCCAUAACGAGCGCAACCCUUGCCACUAGUUACUAACAGGUAAAGCUGAGGACUCUGGUGGGACUGCCAGCGUAAGCUGCGAGGAAGGCGGGGAUGACGUCAAAUCAGCACGGCCCUUACAUCCGGGGCGACACACGUGUUACAAUGGCGUGGACAAAGGGAAGCCACCUGGCGACAGGGAGCGAAUCCCCAAACCACGUCUCAGUUCGGAUCGGAGUCUGCAACCCGACUCCGUGAAGCUGGAUUCGCUAGUAAUCGCGCAUCAGCCAUGGCGCGGUGAAUACGUUCCCGGGCCUUGUACACACCGCCCGUCAAGCCAUGGGAGCCGGGGGUACCUGAAGUCCGUAACCGCGAGGAUCGGCCUAGGGUAAAACU